GACGAACGCUGGCGGCGUGCUUAACACAUGCAAGUCGAACGGAAAGGCCCUGCUUUUGUGGGGUGCUCGAGUGGCGAACGGGUGAGUAACACGUGAGUAACCUGCCCUUGACUUUGGGAUAACUUCAGGAAACUGGGGCUAAUACCGGAUAGGAGCACCUGCUGCAUGGUGGGGGUUGGAAAGUUUCGGCGGUUGUGGAUGGACUCGCGGCUUAUCAGCUUGUUGGUGGGGUAGUGGCUUACCAAGGCUUUGACGGGUAGCCGGCCUGAGAGGGUGACCGGCCACAUUGGGACUGAGACACGGCCCAGACUCCUACGGGAGGCAGCAGUGGGGAAUAUUGCACAAUGGGCGGAAGCCUGAUGCAGCAACGCCGCGUGCGGGAUGACGGCCUUCGGGUUGUAAACCGCUUUCGCCUGUGACGAAGCGUGAGUGACGGUAAUGGGUAAAGAAGCACCGGCUAACUACGUG
rnacentral:rRNA from 1 species